UCUUGUAAUAUCAUCAACAGGUUUUCCAAUUGCAUUCAAUUGGUCACAAAUGUUUUUGAACUCUCGAAGAUAUUCGCUUAGUGAUCUGUUUCUUUUCUUGCAGACUUGAAGUUUUCCCCUUAACUCAAACUCCUUUGCAAUAGAUUUCUGUGUAAAUCUAUUUAUGAGAGCCUGCCAAACUUCAAGUGAGAUGAUCAGGAUUCAUUAUCUCUCCUGCCUCAGUUUGUAUCAUUCGACUUGGAGGAAAAGUAUACUUCUGCACUCUAGUGGCCAUUCUUCUAUGUUUCAAAGACUUUGAAGAUUUGAAGAUAAUCCAGUAAACUUUGAAGUUUUAAUCUCAUGGAUCACCAGCUCCUGUUGCCACGGAUUGCCAGCUCAUGGAUCAACUCCUGUUGUCACGGAUCGCCAGCUCAUUAACUCUAUUGGAUCGCCAACUCACGACUUUCCUCUGUUUCAGCUUCCUCUGUUUCAGUUGCUUCUUCAGGUUUGGCUUUUCUACUGAUGCUGACUUCUAUGCACUUCUGAUCUUGCAAAACUUGUUUAAUUCUU